GCCCGUGUUGCUCAAUGGUUAGAGUGUUGGCCCACAGACCAAAGAGUCAUGGGUUUGAUUCCCAUUCAAGGGCA
rfam:Myotis lucifugus cont2.17782, whole genome shotgun sequence.